AUCAUGCAAGAGCUUGCUGCUGUGUGUGGGACUGAGACCCAGAUUCGGGCCAAUUCAAAAUGAAAACCUUCAAAUGAGUGCUCUGAGAGUAAAAUGAAACUGAAUCUGCUUGCUACAUGUCGAUGAGGUUCAAAAGAUGGCAACAGUUUUGGGGUGCAAGGUCAAGCUGAAGAGUUAAAAACAGAAAGGAACCUUCUUUCCUCAGCCUAAAUAAAUAU
rnacentral:lncRNA from 1 species